ensembl:snoRNA
UGCAAUCUAGGUGAAAGUGGGCACUGUUGCUUUUGAUGUUCAGAAAUAGAUGUGGCCAUAUUGAUACUGGUUAUGCUUACACCACAGCACCUCAUAGCAGUGGUACUGAGGACUGCAACAUGU